GAUACUUUGAUGGUAUCGGAACGUCCCUAGUUGUCAACGUGAAUUGUUGGUGAAAAUGUUUCGAUAAAAAAAUUAAUUUUGGACGGGACGAAGUUCGCCGGGUCUGCCAGACGUCAGCAUAAGCGGUUCCAGAGAUAAGCGUUAUGAGAACUGCAGUUUGUAUAGGCGGUGCCACGCCCCCUUUUCCAAAAUCUAUCACUUUUCGCCGUAAGUACGGUAUUGACAACAUACAGAUGACCGAUAAGAGAACUUCAGUUUGUAUAGGAGGUGCCGCGCCCACUUUCCCAGUACCUACCAUUUUUCACCAUGCCACGCUCCCUACAUAUCGGGAUCAAAAUUUCUGGAUUAGAGGAAGUUAUAUCCUUUAAAUCGGUGCAUGUUUCAUUGAAAUCGCGCGAACGGUGCCUUCCAAAAAGGAAUUGCAAAAUUUUCUUGUGGCGUAUUUAUAUAUAGAUGGUUAAUUGUGAAAGAAAAUAUCAAAAUACAGCUGAUGAUGUAAAUUCAAGCAAUAACUUUGUAAAUUUUUCACAUGGCAAUGAUUUUGAAAAUCAAAAUAAGAUGCAAAACAGGAAAAGUUUAAGAAAAAGUAGACAAAAGAAUAAAACAAUAUAACAAAAGCGAGAUUUUUAUUAUAAAGGUUUAAAAAUUUAUAACGAGCUGCCGGCAGAUAAAAGAAGCUGCAAUAGCUUACAAAAAUUCAAACGCUAUUACACCACCAUUGCAAAACACACAUAUAGAAUGAAAUGGUAAUAACAUCGUUGUUCUAAGGGACUGCUAUUAGGCCUAUCCAUUCUUCCAAGAAACUAUUUUAUGAGAGACGUUACGAGCCUGGAUCGGAAACUCGGCCUUUCCGACCAUGAUCAAAGCUUUUAAUGACACUGAAUGAGACCUUUUCGCCUGCUGGAUUGGUAGAUUGGAGACUAGGUCUCGCUAGCUACCCAACCCGAGUUUAUAAUGUACAUAUAAAUAUCA